CACGCAGCGAUCGGGAGGGGUCCAUAAUAUGGGUUCAUGGUUUUAGAACACACAGUGAUCGGGGAGGGGUCCAUAAUAUGGGUUCAUGGUUUCAGAACACGCAGCGAUCGGGGAGGGGUCCAUAAUAUGGGUUCAUGGUUUCAGAACACGCAGUGAUCGGGGAGGGGUCAUAAUAUGGGUUCAUGGUUUCAGAACACACAGUGAUCGGGGAGGGGUCCAUAAUAUGGGUUCAUGGUUUCAGAACACACAGUGAUCGGGGAGGGGUCCAUAAUAUGGGUUCAUGGUUUCAGAACACACAGUGAUCAGGGAGGGGUCCAUAAUAUGGGUUCA